rfam:Streptococcus infantis SK1302 contig94, whole genome shotgun sequence.
AAUCCUGUGCAACCGCACGAACAUCGUUGCUUGAUUUUCAAGUGUAAGUGGUUCGUCCCACGAUGCUAGGCGAGUCUUCACAAAAAU